rnacentral:lncRNA from 1 species
AUGACCCUACUGAUGGAUAAACAGAUUGUGGUAACAUGCCCAAAUCUGGUAUGUUUUUUGGAGCAUUGUAACAGUGUGAUUUAGUUCCAUGCCAUCCUUGUCCCAACUAAUUUGAUUGCUUCUCUCAAAUGCUUAACUGCAGCACAAGUCAACCAGUGAUGUAACUGUAUAAUCAUGCAAAAAUCUAGUUUCUUGUUAGAUCCUCUAUAAGCUAUUCAACUAGCUGUCCAGUAAUACUCAGCCUUCACCAGGUUAGUUGGGACUGAUAACAACAGAUUGUUCUGCUUAUAUGCUUUAUUGGUUUGUAUACAUGAUGUCGGUGCCUUCUAACUUUUUAUCUUAAGGGGAACUAAGCUAUGGCUUUAUGUGGCACAAAUAUUCAAACAAUCCAAAUAAGAUUAUCGUGAUGAGCUUAAAGGUAUGCUCUUUGGCUUAUGAUUUUCUUUCUGUACAGACAAUAUAGUUGCUAAAUUUAAAUUUUUGCAAUGUGCUUUUCUUUUCGGUGGAAUUUUUAGAUGUUAGAUUUUUUUACUUGAGUUUUCUCAGUUCACAUUUAAACUGAGAGUUUUGAUGACAAUUGGAAGGUUCCGACAUGCCUCUUGUUUUUCCUAUAAUUCUAUACUUUCCCUUAUUACUGGCAUGCGUUGGUAUAUGGUGGUGAUUUGGUCCAACUUUCUCUUCCUACUAUGGUCAUACUACCUACUGUAUAUGGUGGUUAUUGGCUGUAUGUAGAGUUGGGUGUAUUUAGAAGCUUUAAACACUAAGCUAAAAAUUAUUCCAUACCCUAUGCCCUAUGUCAAUUAUUCACCCUCCCUUUAUAUAUUACUAUUAGAUGUUUAACUUAUCAUGUAUUUUACUCCACAGGAUCGUAACUUGGGAGAUGAACGGUUUUCUGAUUUCAAUUACAGAUAGAAAAGGCAGCUCUUUAAUCUCAACCAUUGAACAACAACACACAACAUGAGGGCCAUGACUUUGAUUCUCAUUUAAUUUGGCGUUAUUAGUGAUGAGAGCGAUGAGUCUACUGAUGAGUCCAGUUUAUGAGUCAUCCUUUGUUUGUUUCAUAUUGUCAUAGGAAAAAAUGUCAAUUCACACAUUAUGUAAUGAAUUAAGUUGUGGAUGAUAUUUUGUAAUGGUACUACUAUUUUUAAUACAGACUUAUUUCAAAUUAUUUGUCAUGUGUAAGCCUAUAACAGUUUGGGAAUCGAUAAUGUGUAUCGCACAUGCUCUACAUAUUUGUUUUAGUCCAAAUAAAAUAAAA